rnacentral:lncRNA from 1 species
UCUUCUCCUUCACUACUCCAUCAGCUCUGUUGUCUUAUCCUUCAGCAUUGUCACUAAUAUAUAGCUUUCACCUAAUUUAUACAUUGAAUGGUAAUGUGUAUUUGCGUUUUGAAAUUUCAUGCUUUAUAAAUGGUAUUAUUUUGCUAUUGUGUUGAAUGAAUGCUCUAAGUUAAUGGAGAUUCACAUACAUGUUUGUAUUGAUAGUUUAUAUAGCUUUCAUACAAUAUUUGAAUAAACAUUACAUUAUAGUAUACUAAUCUAUUCAUCAAAAUAAUAUAGUUUUCUCCUAUGUCGUUUUCACUCUUACACUCCCUCCUACUCUUUCUCUCCUCCCCUCCCUUCCCCGAUCUCUCUCUGUCUCUCUCUCUCUCCAUUCUUCCUUCCUUUCCUCCAUAUUUCUAUCUUUCCUCCUCCCUCCUCUUCUCCUCCUGCUCCUCACCUCUCCAUUUUUCUCCUUUCCCCAUUCA